CCUACGGGUGGCAGCAGUGAGGAAUAUUGGUCAAUGGACGAGAGUCUGAACCAGCCAAGUAGCGUGAAGGAUGACUGCCCUAUGGGUUGUAAACUUCUUUUAUAUGGGAAUAAAACGUUCCACGUGUGGGAUUUUGUAUGUACCAUAUGAAUAAGGAUCGGCUAACUCCGUGCCAGCAGCCGCGGUAAUACGGAGGAUCCGAGCGUUAUCCGGAUUUAUUGGGUUUAAAGGGAGCGUAGGUGGAUUGUUAAGUCAGUUGUGAAAGUUUGCGGCUCAACCGUAAAAUUGCAGUUGAAACUGGCAGUCUUGAGUACAGUAGAGGUAGGCGGAAUUCGUGGUGUAGUGGUGAAAUGCUUAGAUAUCACGAAGAACUCCGAUUGCGAAGGCAGUUCACUGGACUGCAACUGACACUGAGGCUCGAAAGUGUGGGUAUCAAACAGGAUUAGAUACCCGUGUAGUC
rnacentral:rRNA from 1 species